rnacentral:rRNA from 1 species
CUUGGUGAUUAUAGCGAGGAGCCUGCACCCGAUUCCAUUCCGAACUCGGUAGUGAAAAUCCUCAGCGCCGAUGGUACUUCAUCUUAAGGUGCGGAAGAGUAGGUCGUUGCCAGGU